GGGGUGCCUUUGCGGGGGCAGAGCUGCGUUCUGCUUAACACAGACCCGGGGGACACCAAAAACGCGGAGCAGCUUUCUCAGCACACACCUUGGGGGCACGGCCUCGCUUUGGGACAACUCAGGGCAGCAUCGACGGGUCUCCCUCUUUUGUCCAAGGCUGGAGUGUGGUAGUGCUAUCACAGCUGACUGCAGCCUCAACCUUCCAGGCUGAAGCGAUCCUCCCAUCUCAAUCUCCUACGUGGCUGAGACUACAGGUGCUUGCCACUAUGCCCAACUAACAUUUGGAAUUUUCGUAUACGUGGAUUCUAGAGGGGUGACAGCGAAACCUGCAGGACAAAUUCGAGCAUCUUAAAAUGAUUCAACAGGAGGAGAUAAGGAAGCUUGAGGAAGAGAAAAAACAACUGGAAGGAGAAAUCAUAGAUUUUUAUAAAAUGAAAGCUGC